rnacentral:rRNA from 3 species
UUAGGAAUCUUGCGCAAUGGGGGAAACCCUGACGCAGCGACGCCGCGUGGGCGAAGAAGGCCUUCGGGUUGUAAAGCCCUUUUCCGGGGGAAGAUAGUGACGGUACCCCGGGAAUAAGCCCCGGCUAACUACGUGCCAGCAGCCGCGGUAAUACGUAGGGGGCGAGCGUUGUCCGGAUUUACUGGGCGUAAAGGGCGCGCAGGCGGUUCCGUAAGUCGGCCGUGAAAUCUCCCGGCUCAACUGGGAGGGGUCGGUCGAAACUGCGGGGCUUGGAAGGCGGUAGGGGAGGAUGGAAUUCCCGGUGUAGUGGUGAAAUGCGUAGAUAUCGGGAGGAACACCGAUGGCGAAAGCGAUCCUCUGGGCCGUUCUUGACGCUGAGGCGCGAAAGCGUGGGGAGCGAACUGA